rnacentral:ribozyme from 1 species
AUGCAAAUAAUGAAACAUAGCAGUACUAAAAAAAAAAGUUAUACUCGUACACUAUACCAGUAUAUCUAAGUAAUUUUUUUUUCUCUCUGUAUGGAUU